rnacentral:rRNA from 1 species
GAUGAACGCUGGCGGCGUGCCUAAUACAUGCAAGUAGAACGCUGAAGCUUGGUGCUUGCACCGAGCGGAAGAGUUGCGAACGGGUGAGUAACGCGUAGGUAACCUGCCUCUUAGCGGGGGAUAACUAUUGGAAACGAUAGCUAAUACCGCAUAAAAGUCGAUAUCGCAUGAUAUUGAUUUGAAAGGUGCAAAUGCAUCACUAAGAGAUGGACCUGCGUUGUAUUAGCUAGUUGGUGAGGUAACGGCUCACCAAGGCGACGAUACAUAGCCGACCUGAGAGGGUGAUCGGCCACACUGGGACUGAGACACGGCCCAGACUCCUACGGGAGGCAGCAGUAGGGAAUCUUCGGCAAUGGGGGCAACCCUGACCGAGCAACGCCGCGUGAGUGAAGAAGGUUUUCGGAUCGUAAAGCUCUGUUGUAAGAGAAGAACGAGUGUGAGAGUGGAAAGUUCACACUGUGACGGUAACUUACCAGAAAGGGACGGCUAACUACGUG